AUGACAACUGCGACGGCGAUCUCAUCAGCAACCUUCCGGACGCCGUCCUAUGCACCAUCAUCUCCCUCCUCCCCACCAAGGACGGCGCUCGCACGCAGGCCAUCGCACGCCGAUGGCGCCCUCUCUGGGGCUCCGCGCCUCUCAACCUCGACGCCGAGAACCUCAACACCAAUGAUUUCAAGCAGCCGCGCCGCCGCCGAGGGCCUCGACCGUCGACGGAAUCCAUCAUCUCCAGGAUCCUCUCGGACCACCCUGGCCCCGCCCGUCGCUUCGACUUCCGAUUAA
rnacentral:rRNA from 1 species